rnacentral:rRNA from 2 species
UGGUGGAUCACUCGGCUCGCUGGUCGAGGAAGAACGUAGCUAGCUACGUUAAUCGGUGUGAAAUGCAGGACACUCCGAUCACUCGACAUUCGAACGCACAUUGCAGCCAUUGGAUAUCCAAUGGCUUCGUUUGUCUGAGCGUCGU